rnacentral:rRNA from 1 species
UGAGUACAGCGGCGCACGGGUGCGUAACACGUGGGUAACCUACCCCUAAGACUGGGAUAACCCGUCGAAAGAUGGGCUAAUACCGGGUAAUACCUUGAGGAGUAGACUUCUUGGGGCCAAAAGGGGCUUUCUGCGGAAGGCUUCUACUGAGGGAUGGGCCCGCGGCCUAUCAGCUGGUUGGUGAGGUAAGAGCUCACCAAGGCGAAGACGGGUAGCUGGUCUGAGAGGAUGACCAGCCACACGGGGAUUGAGAUACGGCCCCGACUCCUACGGGAGGCAGCAGUGGGGAAUCUUGGGCAAUGGGCGCAAGCCUGACCCAGUGACGCCGCGUGGGUGAUGAAGGCCUUCGGGUCGUAAAGCCCUGUCAGGCGGAGCGAAUCUCCUAGGGGUGAAGAGCCCCGAGGACUGACGGUACCGUCAAAGGAAGCAUCGGCUAACUCUGUGCCAGCAGCCGCGGUAAGACAGAGGAUGCGAGCGUUGUUCGGAAUUAUUGGGCGUAAAGGGUGCGUAGGCGGUUCCAUCCGUCUGGCGUGAAAACCCGAGGCUCAGCCUCGGAAGGGCACCAGAAACCAUGGAACUCGAGGACCGGAGGGGAGAGUGGAAUUCCCGGUGUAGCGGUGAAAUGCGUAGAGAUCGGGAGGAAUACCGGUGGCGAAAGCGACUCUCUGGACGGUCACUGACGCUGAGGCACGAAAGCGUGGGGAGCAAACAGGAUUAGAUACCCUGGUAGUCCACGCCGUAAACGAUGGGCACGAGACGUUGGGGGGUUACUCCUCCAGUGUCGUCGCUAACGUACUAAGUGCCCCGCCUGGGAAGUACGGCCGCAAGGUUGAAACUCAAAAGAAUUGACGGGGGCCCGCACAAGCGGUGGAGUAUGUGGUUCAAUUCGAUGCAACGC